rnacentral:rRNA from 1 species
GAACGGGUGAGUAACACGUGGGUAAUCUGCCCUGCACUCUGGGAUAAGCCUUGGAAACGGGGUCUAAUACCGGAUAGGACGCAUGGCCGCAUGGUCUGUGUGUGGAAAGUUCCGGCGGUGUAGGUUGAGCCCGCGGCCUAUCAGCUUGUUGGUGGGGUGAUGGCCUACCAAGGCGACGACGGGUAGCCGGCCUGAGAGGGUGACCGGCCACACUGGAACUGAGACACGGCCCAGACUCCUACGGGAGGCAGCAGUGGGGAAUCUUGCGCAAUGGGCGAAAGGCCGAUCCAGCAAUAUCGCGUGAGUGAAGAAGGGCAAUGCCGCUUGUAAAGCUCUUUCG